CCUACGGGAGGCAGCAGUGAGGAAUAUUGGUCAAUGGGAGAGAUCCUGAACCAGCCAAGCCGCGUGAGGGAAGACGGCCCUAUGGGUUGUAAACCUCUUUUGUCGGAGAACAAAACCCGGGACGAGUCCCGGACUGCGUGUAUCCGAAGAAAAAGCAUCGGCUAACUCCGUGCCAGCAGCCGCGGUAAUACGGAGGAUGCGAGCGUUAUCCGGAUUUAUUGGGUUUAAAGGGUGCGUAGGCGGUCUGUUAAGUCAGCGGUAAAAUUGCGGGGCUCAACCCCGUCGAGCCGUUGAACCUGGCAGACUAGAGUUGGCGAGAAGUACGCGGAAUGCGCGGUGUAGCGGUGAAAUGCAUAGAUAGC
rnacentral:rRNA from 1 species